GACGAACGCUGGCGGCGUGCUUAACGCAUGCAAGUCGAACGGAAAGGCCCUGCUUUUGUGGGGUGCUCGAGUGGCGAACGGGUGAGUAACACGUGAGUAACCUGCCCUUGACUUUGGGAUAACUUCAGGAAACUGGGGCUAAUACCGGAUAGGAGCUCCUGCUGCAUGGUGGGGGUUGGAAAGUUUCGGCGGUUGGGGUUGGACUCGCGGCUUAUCAGCUUGUUGGUGGGGUAGUGGCUUACCAAGGCUUUGACGGGUAGCCGGCCUGAGAGGGUGACCGGCCACAUUGGGACUGAGAUACGGCCCAGACUCCUACGGGAGGCAGCAGUGGGGAAUAUUGCACAAUGGGCGGAAGCCUGAUGCAGCAACGCCGCGUGCGGGAUGACGGCCUUCGGGUUGUAAACCGCUUUCGCCUGUGACGAAGCGUGAGUGACGGUAAUGGGGAAAGAAGCACCGGCUAACUACGU
rnacentral:rRNA from 1 species